ensembl:lncRNA
UCAAGUCCACUCACUCCUCAAAACUCAAUUCAAAGCUUGCUUCCAGAGGAAGUCUUCUCAGUCUCACCUUUCUUGGUAGGCUUUUAUCAGAGGUCACUUUUGACAUUUCUUUAGAAACCUGAAAUGCCUGGCACAAUGCUGUGUGCACACAGGAAGCUCUCAGAUAAUUAACAGUGGUAAAGAAUCCACCUGCAGUGAAGGAGACAUAGGAGACGCAGUUUCAAUCCCUGGGUUGGGAAGAUCCCAUGGAGAAGGAAAUGGCAACCCACUCCAGUAUUCUUGCCUGGAGAAUCCCAUAGUCAGAGGAGCCUGGCUGGUUACAGCCCAUGGGGGUCACAAAGAGCCGAACACGACUGAAGUGGCUUAGUACAUCAAGCUUUUUAACGUUCGCCUUUUGAGCCAUGUUACCUGAUGCGACGACACAUCAUGCAGUGAUAGUCUCUGGGGCCUACUGGACAGCAGCUACGCAGGAUCUGAGGCUUUGGAUGUGAACAACACACUGGUCCAAGAAAAUCCACAGGAGAGGUUUUUGAUAUUGAGGAAGUUGGUUGCAGUGCCCUCUUUAUGAAGACCCAUGGAGGAAAUUUUCUUCAGGAAUCUUUGUGCUUCUCUUGAGUGUCUGAUUUGUUUCCAUUUUCUGGUUUUUGAAUUGACUGUUAGGCAGCUCAGAGUAAAAUUUUUGGCCCUUUUCCAGCAAGUCAACAGAGCUUCAUGGGUUAUAUUUUCU